AGAAUCAACGCUGGCGGCGUGCCUAACACAUGCAAGUCGAACGAGAAAGUGGAGCAAUCCAUGAGUAAAGUGGCGACCGGGUGAGUAACACGUGACUAACCUACCUUUGAGUGGGGGAUAACAUCGGGAAACCGAUGCUAAUACCGCAUAACAUCGCAAGAUCAAAGCAGCAAUGCGCUUAAAGAGGGGGUCGCGGCUGAUUAGCUAGUUGGCGGGGUAACGGCCCACCAAGGCGAAGAUCGGUA
rnacentral:rRNA from 1 species